CAUCUCUGCAGCAAAAAGUACCUUCAAGUUUUCCAACUGGACAUUGAUGAUUCCAGAAGUUGCAUAGAAGUCAUGCAGAAUAAAGAAAACAACUUUCUAAUUUAAUGUAAUACCUUUCCCGAAGAGGAAGCAAUGCAUGAGAGUCAUUUCUAUUGCUCGGUCACAGUAUAAAUAUCAUAAUUAUGUGAUAUGAUUCAACUUCAGAAACCCCUUCCGAUUGCAUUCCUCUUUCUUCCACUUUUAAAACUCAUGGCUGAAUCGCUUCUUUUCAGCUCCGCAGAAUCGCUCCUCGGAAAGCUUGCUUCUGCUGCCCUUCAAGAAGCUUCUCUAGCGUUUGGUGUGAACCGCGACCUUGAAUUGAUGAAAGAAACUAUGACAUUCAUCAGAGGUGUACUCCUAGAUGCUGAGAAAAAGAAUUCACAGAGCAGUGCACUAAAAGAAUGGUUGAUUCAGGUUAAGUGCGUGUUUUCUGAUGCUGAAGACAUAGUCGAUGAUUUUGAGUGCGAAGCUUUACGAAAACACACUGUCAACACCUAUGGAAGCUGUUCAAGAAAGGUAUGUCGUUUCUUCUCAUCAAGUAAUCCUGUUGUUUAUCGUCUUAGAAUGGCGCAUCACAUUCAAGACAUCAACAUCAGGUUGACCAAACUUGCAUCUCAAAGAAGCAUGUUUAGCCUUCAAAUCAUUGACCAAGACACUCGUGUCGUGCACGUGAGGGAAAUGACUCAUUCUCAUGUAAACCCUUCUAAUGUUAUAGGGAGAGAACAUGAUAAACAAGAAAUAAUAAAACUUCUGGUGCAAGGUGAUCAUGGCCAAAGUCUCUCAAUUAUUCCCAUUGUGGGAAUGGGAGGCUUGGGAAAGACCACACUUGCUAAGUUGGUCUUCAAUGACCCCAUAAUUCAUGCAUGUUUUCCAUUGAGAAUGUGGGUGUGUGUCACUAAUGAAUUUGAACUUAGGAAUGUGCUCAUUAAAAUCCUCAAUUCUGUUCCAAAUCCAACUAGGGAAAACUUCAAUAACUUUGAGAUAGAGCAACUUCAAAUUCUUUUGAGAAAUACACUUGAAGGGUAUAAGUCCUUGCUUGUGUUGGAUGACGUGUGGAACGAGGAUCCUGCAAGAUGGGAUGAGUUGAGAGAAAUAAUAGAUAUAGGUGUUGAAGGCAGUAAAAUCCUAGUGACUACUCGUAGUCAAAAAGUAGCUGCCAUUAUGCACACAAAAUCCUCAAAGUCGUACCUUCUAGGAUGUCUCUCUGAAAAGGAUUCUCUUUCUCUAUUUAUGAAAUAUGCUUUUGAAGAUGGAGAUGAGAUGAAACAUCCACAACUAUUGAAAAUUGGGAAAGAAAUAGUAAAAAAAUGUGGAGGGUUACCAUUGGCUGUGAAAACGGUGGGGAGUUCACUGUUCUUAAUGGUUGAUGAGAGAGAGUGGGAAAGUGUAAGAGACAAUGAGAUUUGGAAUUUAAAACAAAAUGUAAAAGGCAUUUUGCCUGCUCUCAAACUAAGUUACGAUCAACUCCCUUCAUACUUAAAACCCUGUUUUGCUUCUUUGUCCCUUUACCAAAAAGACAUUUAUUUUUAUAGUUCUCAAGUUUGUAUGUUAUGGGGAGGACUUGGUUUUCUUCCACCACCAAAGGCAAGUGAAUCAAUGGCUAAUGUUGCCACUCAAUUGUUGCAUGAGCUAUGGUCAAGAUCUUUUCUUUCAGAAUAUGAAGACUUCGGAGGUGAUUGUCGGUUUAAAUUACAUGAUUUGGUGUUUGAUCUUGCCAUAUAUAUUGCAAAGGGUGAGUUUGAUAUAAUACACCCAAAUCCAAACUUAUACAAGAAUGCCCAUCAUUUGUUAUUUAUGAAUGAUAAUUUGCUUGAUCAAGCUCUUCUUCCCUCAAGUCUAAGAAUUUUCAUUUUUACUGGGGGACCUAGUAAUGAAAAUUUCUUGAAUACAUUGGUUUCAAGGUGCAAAUUCUUGAGGAUUUUAAUCUUAGAUUGGUCUGAAUACGUAAGUCUACCUCGUUUCAUCGGAAAGUUGAAACAUUUAAGAUUUCUCAGCCUUUGGAACAAUGAAAACCUUAUGGAAGUCCCUGAUUCAGUUUGCAAACUUCAAAAUUUGCAAACUUUGAACCUUGAGGGGUGCAUAAAGCUACAAAAGUUACCCAAAGGACUAGCAAAUCUAGUAAGCCUUCGUUACCUAGGUAUAACCACCAUAGAACCUACUUUUCCAGAAAAAGAAGUUGCAAGUUUGACUUCUUUAGAAGAUUUAAGGUUUUGUCGUUGUGAUAAUUUGGAGUCAUUGUUCAAAGGAAUACAACUGCACACUCUUAAAGGAUUGUCUUUACAAGAUUGUAAAAGUCUAAAGAUGGUGUCGUUCCAUGCCAUAAAAAAUUUAGAGGUUUUAGUGAUUGCACAGUGCAACAAGUUGGAAUUGUCAAUGGGCCUUAGCAACGAAAUCCUUGAUUCAAGGUUGAAACUUCUCAUUCUUAGAGGCUUGCCAAGUCUAGCAACAUUGCCUCGGUGGCUUCAAGGAUCUGCCAACUCUUUACAGUCCUUAGUUAUUGAAGAAUGCAUGAAUCUUGAGGAGCUUCCCGAUUGGCUACCAACUCUAAAUUGUCUCCAACAACUUGUAGUUCGAUAUUGUCCAAACCUAUUAUCACUCCCUGAUAACAUACAUCACGUCACGAAUCUAAAAGUGAUUAAUGUCACUGGUUCUUCUGAAUUAUGGAAAAGAUACAGGCCAAGAGUUGGACAGGAUUGGCACAAGAUAUCUCAUGUCAAUCUUGUUUGCUAUGAUGAAUCAGAAAAUGAAAAAGAAUUCUCCUAAUAAGAGUCAAAAGCUAAAGAUAAGUGGAAAUCCCAAAAGAUUGAAGAAUAUAUUAAAGAUUAUACUUUAGAUACAAUUCAUUCAAGUAUAAUUUUCAGGCCUAGUUAGUUUGGCCCAAUUCGUCCAACAAGCAAGAAUAAGUCUCCUAGUAAGCAAGAUCAAGCCGUCCAACAAGCUAUGCCAAUUCGCCCAACAAGAAUGUCGGACCUAGUAUGCAAAAUUAAGGUUUUCAUCUUCAUCCAUGGAAGUUUUGCCCCCUUUGGGUUUUGGAGGAAGAUAGGUCAUGAAAUUGGAGGCGGAGAUGCGAAUGGAAGGUGUCAUUGGAGCAUGGAGCAACUACCAAGAACCUUGGGAGAGGCCUUGAUUAUGAUAUAUGGUUUCAAUUUCUUCUAUAUUCUUCAAUUUUAUAAACCCUAGGCUCUCCAUUAUGGAGAGCUAAACCUUUUUGUUGAUAUUAGAUGUAAUAAAUUAAUUUCUUGUGUAUUUUGCGAAGUUAAUACACAUCCUUUCCAUGUUGAAUGUUAGUAUUUCAUUUAUAUAUUUAAUGUUUGUUGUGGCUUGAACACUCAUGGCUUUAUUGUGGUUCUUGAUGUGACACUCAGGCACUGACGAGGGCGGGGAGUGAUCGUCGGUGCAAGAGGCAUGGACAGAGAGCAGCUCUUGACAGGCUUCUGAUGGAAGGGCCACAUGGAAGAAUCGAACAUCCACCGAAAUAAGAGGGAUCUAGAGACUGUAUAGGUAUGAGAUAUUAUGGUUGAAGGAUAGCUUAAAGGAAUUGAUUUGGCUACUCAUAUCAACA